AUUGAACGCUGGCGGCAUGCUUUACACAUGCAAGUCGAACGGCAGCACGGGGGGUAACCCUGGUGGCGAGUGGCGAACGGGUGAGUAAUGCAUCGGAACAUAUCUUAAAGUGGGGAAUAACGCAUCGAAAGGUGUGCUAAUACUCCAUAUACUCUAAGGAGGAAAGCGGGGGAUCGAAAGACCUCGUGCUUUAAGGGUGGCCGAUGUCUGAUUAGCUAGUUGGUGGGGUAAAGGCUUACCAAGGCGACGAUCAGUAGCUGGUCUGAGAGGACGAUCAGCCACACUGGGACUGAGACACGGCCCAGACUCCUACGGGAGGCAGCAGUGGGGAAUAUUGGACAAUGGGCGCAAGCCUGAUCCAGCCAUGCCGCGUGAGUGAUGAAGGCCUUAGGGUUGUAAAGCUCUUUCAGUGGGGAAGAUAAUGACGGGUACCCACAGAAGAAGCCCCGGCUAACUUCGUGCCAGCAGCCGC
rnacentral:rRNA from 1 species